GGCCCCGUAGUUUAAUGGAUAAAACGGAGGAUUCCGGUUCCUUUGAUGGGGGUUCGAUUCCCUUCGGGGCUA
rnacentral:tRNA from 2 species